rnacentral:rRNA from 1 species
UACGUAGGGGGCAAGCGUUGUCCGGAUUUAUUGGGCGUAAAGAGCGUGUAGGCGGCUAGGUAGGUCCGUUGUGAAAACUCGAGGCUCAACCUCGAGACGCCGAUGGAAACCAUCUGGCUAGAGUCCGGAAGAGGAGAGUGGAAUUCCUGGUGUAGCGGUGAAGUGCGCAGAUAUCAGGAAGAACACCCGUGGCUAAGGCGGCUCUCUAGUACGGUACUGACGCUGAGACGCGAAAGCGUGGGGAGCGAACAGG